rnacentral:rRNA from 1 species
GACAUUGUGUCUUCGAGUCGUUGAUUUCACACUGCCGAGAAAAGCCUCUAGAUAGAAAAUAGGUGCCCGUACCGCAAACCGACACAGGUAGUCAAGAUGAGAAUUCUAAGGUGAGCGAGCGAACUCUCGUUAAGGAACUCGGCAAAAUGACCCCGUAACUUCGGGAGAAGGGGUGCUCUUUAGGGUUAACGCCCAGAAGAGCCGCAGUGAAUAGGCCCAAGCGACUGUUUAUCAAAAACACAGGUCUCUGCUAAACCGUAAGGUGAUGUAUAGGGGCUGACGCCUGCCCGGUGCUGGAAGGUUAAGAGGAGUGGUUAGCUUCUGCGAAGCUACGAAUCGAAGCCCCAGUAAACGGCGGCCGUAACUAUAACGGUCCUAAGGUAGCGAAAUUCCUUGUCGGGUAAGUUCCGACCCGCACGAAAGGCGUAACGAUUUGGGCACUGUCUCAACGAGAGACUCGGUGAAAUCAUAGUACCUGUGAAGAUGCAGGUUACCCGCGACAGGACGGAAAGACCCCGUGGAGCUUUACUGUAGCCUGAUAUUGAAAUUCGGCACAGCUUGUACAGGAUAGGUAGGAGCCUUUGAAACGUGAGCGCUAGCUUACGUGGAGGCGCUGGUGGGAUACUACCCUAGCUGUGUUGGCUUUCUAACCCGCACCACUUAUCGUGGUGGGA